UUCUGCUGUGGUAGGAGUGAAAGAGGAGAUUCCUCCAACUACCCCUCCACCUACAUUGCCCAGGUUUGAGGCGUACUCGCCGAGUUCUUGUGGGUCGGGUAGUAAUGCCCGGCUAAAGAUCCGUCUCGCCCGGUUGAAGUUCGAGGCUGAGGAGAAGGCUCGUAAGGCAGAUACUGAGGCACGAGAGAGGGCACGAAAACAGGAACAGGAAUUUCAGUUAGCUAUGCGUAAGCUGGAAUUAGAGACAGAGGUUAAGAUGCGGCAGCUGGAGUUACAAAAUGCUACUGAGCAAACUUCCAUUGUGGUUACCCCAGGUACGUCCCCACCGCUUGGUUUUGCUGGCUAUGAUGUCAGGAGACAUGUGGCAUUACCCUCUUUCAGGGAGACUGAGGUAGAUGCCUAUUUCAGCACUUUUGAACGUUUGGCAGCAGCUCUUAACUGGCCCAAAGAAAUUUGGACAACCUUGCUGCAGUGUAAACUAAUUGGAAAAGCACAAGAUGUAAUGGCUACACUAACUCUUGAGGAUAGCAUGAACUAUGAUGUGGUAAAAGCGGCUAUUCUUCGUGUAUAUGAGUUGGUCCCGGAGGCCUAUCGACAGAAAUUUAGAAAUCAAAAGAAAACCUCCGCCCAAUCGUUCGUAGAGUUCGCCAGAGAAAAGGGAACUCUGUUUGACAAAUGGUGUGCUGCGAGUAAAGUUGAUAAUUAUGACUCUCUUCGUGAAUUAAUUUUGAUAGAAGAGUUUAAAAAUUGUGUUCCGGAACGUGUUGUAGUUUACUUAAACGAACAAAAAGUGAUGUCUUUGUCUGAAGCUGCGAUAUUUGCGGAUGAGUUUGCACUCACUCAUAAGACUGUGUUUGGUUCCACCCAAGGAGCUAAGUCUGUUGCGUCCCGCAGUUCUAAAGACAACGAAUCUCCAAAAGAUUCCAAAAUGUCACCCCCACGGUCUAAAGAGGAACGUGAAUGUUUCUACUGCCAUAAGGUAGGGCAUGUUAUUGCUAACUGUUUCACUUUGAAAAAGAAAACCGCUGCCUCAGCUAAGCCUACAGGCUUUGUUAGAAUUGUUCCUCGAACUACUCAGUGUUUAAACGGUCUUGAAAGUAAACCUGAAGAAGGUUUUGAGCCGUUUAUUUUUGAAGGUUUUGUUUCCCUUUCCGGUGAUCCGACUGAGCAAAAACCGGUGCGGAUUUUAAGAGACACGGGAGCUUCGCAAUCCUUCGUGUUAGCCGACGUGAUAGCCGUAUCGGACGUGACAUAUAGUGGUGCUAAUGUGGUAAUUCAGGGCAUUGAUAUGGCCUUGGUUACCGUUCCCUUACACAAAGUACAUGUUCAGACUGAUUUAGUCACGGGUUAUUUUAAUGUGGCUGUACGGUCCGCUUUACCUGUACCAGGCGUGGACUUCAUUAUGGGCAAUGAUAUUGCCGGAGGUAAAGUGCGUCCAGUACUCGAAGUUUUAAAUAACCCCGUACCAUGUCCCAUCUCUGACAUGUCUAGAUCACUUCCCGGUGUUUUCCCUGCUUGCGUGCUCACUCGAGCUCAAUCAAAGAAAUGGGGUGAGGAAGUUGAUUUAUCAGAAUCUGUUUUAGCGUCCACUUUUACUGAGGAUAGUUCUCUCACCAAACCGGAAGUACCACGUGUAAAGCCGGAGGUAGGUACAGAGGUUGAACCUCAAGAUUUUUGUGAAAAAGAGGAAUCUCUUACCUUAUCUCUAGAGUUUGCCUCAGAUAAAUUGCCUGUCACUCGCGAACAACUUGUUGCUGCUCAGGAAAAUGAUCCGUCUUUGCUUUUGCUACCGAUUGCUGGAUCUGCUUUGUCUGCUCGUUUUUCUGGUCCCUAUACUGUAGAAGAAAAACUGAGUGAAAGCAAUUACGUAAUUCAAACACCCGAUCGUAAGCGUCAGUCACGCGUGUGCCAUAUUAAUAUGCUUAAGGCAUAUAAUUCUAGGACGACACUUCAGUCGAAGGAUGUGAAGAAAGUUCUGCCUGUGUCACGAGUUUCUAGCAUUAGCCCUGUACCUAGUAACCCCAGUUUUAAUUGUACAGAGGAUGAGGAUGGCCUCGUGCUUCGGAACGCCCCUCAGCAGUGUGCUAGACUCACCAAUUCGGAGACUUUGUUAGAAUUGUCGUCCCACCUUGCUCACUUAUCAGAUGUUCAAAGGUCUGAUAUUGUUAAUUUAAUACAUGAGUUUCCAAAUCUUUUUGGUGAUACUCCCUCGCAGACUACCGUAACACAUCAUGACAUUGAUGUGAACGGUGCCGCCCCUAUUAGACAACACCCAUAUCGGGUUAAUAGUACAAAACGUGAGGCUAUGAGACGGGAAGUGCAAUACCUGCUAGAAAAUAAUUUGGCUAAGCCCAGUGCUAGUCCAUGGAGCUCGCCUUGUAUUCUUGUGCCGAAACCUGAUGGAACGUCACGUUUCUGCACUGACUUUCGAAAAGUCAAUGCGGUUACGGUGCCAGACUCCUAUCCCCUACCGAGAAUGGAGGACUGCAUCGAUAACAUUGGUGCCGCUAAAUUUGUCACAAAACUUGACUUGUUGAAAGGGUAUUGGCAAGUGCCGUUGACUCCUCGCGCGUCUGAGAUUUCAGCGUUUGUUACCCCCGAUAACUUCCUCCAAUAUAACGUUUUAGCCUUCGGCCUUAGAAACGCUCCGGCCACGUUUCAGCGGCUGGUGAAUACAGUACUUAUGGGUAUUUCAGAUUGUUAUGCCUAUUUAGAUGACUUGGUUAUUAGGUCAGAUAAUUGGGCCGACCAUGUUUCCGUACUGCGUUGUGUGUUUGAGAGGUUGGCCAAAGCAACGCUAACUCUGAAUCUCGCCAAAUGUGAGUUUGGCAAAGCGACAGUAACAUACCUGGGAAAGCAAGUGGGUCAUGGCCAAGUUCGGCCAUUGGAAGCAAAGGUUGCUGCCAUUGCUGGUUUCCCUGCGCCUACUAGUAGGCGUGAGUUACGCCGUUUCCUCGGGAUGGCAGGGUAUUAUCGGAGUUUUUGUAGGAACUUCUCGGUUGUCGUGGCACCCUUAACGAGUGCGCUUAGUAUUAGGAAACCUUUUGUGUGGACCUCAGACUGCCAAAUAGCUUUUGAGGCUGUUAAGCUUUUGCUAUGCAGUGCGCCUGUACUCGCGGCUCCAGACCUUGCGCAACCGUUUAAGUUAGAGGUUGAUGCAAGCGCUCUAGGAGCUGGUGCGGUACUGCUACAAGAAGAUAAAGAUGGAAUUGAUCACCCCGUCUGUUUCUUCUCCCGAAAAUUUAAUAAACACCAAAUAAACUAUAGCACCAUCGAAAAGGAAGCACUAGCGUUGUUAUUAGCCUUGCAGUUCUUCGAGGUGUACAUUGGCUCGAGUUCUACCCCUGUCGAGGUCUUUACAGACCAUAAUCCAUUAGUGUUUUUAUCGCGAAUGUACAAUCAGAACCAGCGCCUUAUGCGUUGGUCGCUGAUUCUACAGGCAUAUAAUUUAAAUAUUCGCCAUAUUAAAGGGACUGACAAUGUACUGGCUGAUACGUUGUCUCGUAGUUUUGAAUAAUUAAACACUUGAAUAAAUUUUGUGUGUAAUAGUGCGGUAACACCACUGUUAAAAAAAAUGAAAAUAUCAUGUCAGGUAUUGAAUUGUGUAUAGGUAAGGGGGAAUUGGCACAAUGUGUGUACGCCUGUAAUUAUGUAGGCUACUUUGGUAUUUUAGAAUGAAGUGGUGUAUACUAUUACCAUGUGUGUUAACUAACUUAAAAAUAAAUGAAUAAAUGUAUUAAGUUAGUUCUUAAGGGGGGAAGUGUUACGUGCCAUGUUUUUUUUGUGUGGACUUCCCUGCCUUCACCUGUCAGUCACCAUCCACCAAGUCCCACCUUCACCAAGCCCCACCCUCCGUGUCAAUUCUGGACAGCCAAUCAUAACUCGCCACAUCUACUAUAAAAACCCCACCUGUUUGUAACAAUGGAUGUCUGACUGUUUGCUCUGUGUUAUGUCUUUGACUAUGUAUGUUAACACCUCAUUUGAACUUGUCUUGUUUUAUGUACACUUCCAAGGCUUGGGACAGGUAAGACUGGGGGCUCCUGUACAUAUGCCCGUAGGCUAUGUUUUGUAUAGAUUCACUAGUCCUUAGGGGUGAUUGCCAACCAAUUGUAUUUCAGUCUGCUAGUUAGAGUAGAUAGGCCUUUUGUUUGUGUACUUGAUACACUAGAUUAGUUUACUCUCUGGUUUAGCUAGCUUGUUUGUUUGUUCUUUUGGCAACAUCCAGCGUCCGUUGACCCUGGUAGUGUGUGUCUGGGUUGUUAUAUGUCUGGUAGUUUGUUGCACCGUUUUGUUUAUCACAGUAAACACCCGUGCACUGA